rnacentral:tRNA from 1 species
GGGCGGAUAGCUCAGUUGGGAGAGCGCAGCCCUUACAAGGCUGAGGUCACAGGUUCGAUCCCUGUUCCGCCUACCA